rnacentral:tRNA from 1 species
GGGAUUUUAAUUUAACAAAAAAAUAUAGAUAUUGCUACUCUACAUAUCAGGUUAAAAUCCUGAAAAUUCCA